UGAGCAAUCUGCCCUUCUCAUCGGAAUAAGCGUUGGAAACGACGUCUAAUGCCGAAUACGACCUCCUUUCGCAUGAG
rnacentral:rRNA from 1 species